rnacentral:rRNA from 1 species
GACGAACGCUGGCGGCGUGCCUAAUACAUGCAAGUCGAGCGGACUUUCAAGAAGCUUGCUUUUUGAAAGUUAGCGGCGGACGGGUGAGUAACACGUGGGCAACCUGCCUGUAAGACGGGGAUAACUCCGGGAAACCGGGGCUAAUACCGGAUAAUAUCUUUCUUCGCAUGAAGGGAGGUUGAAAGGCGGCGCAAGCCGCCGCUUGCAGAUGGGCCCGCGGCGCAUUAGCUAGUUGGUGAGGUAACGGCUCACCAAGGCGACGAUGCGUAGCCGACCUGAGAGGGUGAUCGGCCACACUGGGACUGAGACACGGCCCAGACUCCUACGGGAGGCAGCAGUAGGGAAUCUUCCGCAAUGGACGAAAGUCUGACGGAGCAACGCCGCGUGAGCGAAGAAGGUCUUCGGAUCGUAAAGCUCUGUUGUCAGGGAAGAACAAGUACCGUUCGAAUAGGGCGGUACCUUGACGGUACCUGACCAGAAAGCCACGGCUAACUACGUGCCAGCCGCCGCAGUAA